rnacentral:rRNA from 1 species
AGAGUUUGAUCAUGGCUCAGAUUGAACGCUGGCGGCAUGCCUAACACAUGCAAGUCGAACGGUAACAGAUAAGAUGAUCUCUUCGGAGUGAAUCUUUGCUGACGAGUGGCGGACGGGUGAGUAAUGCUUGGGAAUCUGCCCAAUAGUGGGGGAAAACUCGGGGAAACCCGGGCUAAUACCGCAUAAUCUCUACGGAGGGAAGAGGGCCUCUACAUGUAAGCUCUCGCUAAUGGAUGAGCCCAAGUCAGAUUAGCUAGUUGGUAAGGUAAUGGCUUACCAAGGCUACGAUCUGUAGCUGGUCUGAGAGGAUGAUCAGCCACACUGGGACUGAGACACGGCCCAGACUCCUACGGGAGGCAGCAGUGGGGAAUAUUGCACAAUGGGCGCAAGCCUGAUGCAGCAAUGCCGCGUGUGUGAAGAAGGCUCUAGGGUUGUAAAGCACUUUCAAUAGAGAAGAAAAGCUUGAAAUUAAUACUUUCAAGCCUUGACGUAAUCUAUACAAGAAGCACCGGCUAAUUCCGUGCCAGCAGCCGCGGUAAUACGGGAGGUGCGAGCGUUAAUCGGAAUUACUGGGCGUAAAGCGAGCGUAGGCUGUUAAUUAAGUCGAAUGUGAAAUCCCCGGGCUCAACCUGGGAACUGCAUUCGAAACUAUUUAACUAGAGUAUGGGAGAAGAAAGUAGAAUUUCCGGUGUAGCG